rnacentral:rRNA from 1 species
CGCAUCUGUGCAUGCAGCAUAUCAAUAAGCGGAGGAAAAGAAACUAACAAGGAUUCCCUUAGUAACGGCGAGUGAAGCGGGAAGAGCUCAAAUUUGAAAUCUUCAAGGUUUUACCUUGACGAAUUGUAGUUUAAAGAAGUGUUUUCUGUUGAAGUUUUGGUAAAAGUUCUUUGGAAUAGGACAUCAUAGAGGGUGAGAAUCCCGUAUUUGACCAUUAUUUUCAGCUGUGUGAUACACUUUCAAAGAGUCGGAUUGUUUGGGAAUGCAGUCCAAAAUGGGUGGUAAAUUUCAUCUAAAGCUAAAUAUUGGCGAGAGACCGAUAGCGAACAAGUACCGUGAGGGAAAGAUGAAAAGAACUUUGAAAAGAGAGUUAAACAGUACGUGAAAUUGUCAAAAGGGAAGCGUUCGACACCAGUGUUGGUUUCUCGAAAAUCAAUUAAAAAGAGUUUGAUUUUGUUGUGUAUUGACCUUAACAGCUUGCAUUUCAAUUUUCUUGCUUUUUUUAAUGCACUUUUCGUUUAACAAGUCAACAUCAGUUUCUUUUGUUGUAAAAAGGUCAUUGGAAGGUGGCUUUCUUUUCGGAGAAAGUGUUUAUAGCCUUUGACCUCUGCAAUCGGAGAGAUUGAGGUCUGCAGCGUAGAUCCUUCGGGGUUAGAUACAUUUGUGCUAAGUUAUAGCUUUUUCAUAGACAACUUGUUGACUAUGAUUUAGUCUUGUAGCUUACUCGCUUACGCUAUUUUACCUACGCUUAGGAUGUUGAUGUGAUACUGCGAGC